UACAACGGCAGUAAGACUUUU
rnacentral:miRNA from 1 species